GUUUUAAUAGUUUACAAAAAACAUUGGUCUUGUAAAUCAAAAUCAAGGCAUCCCCUUUUAAAACU
rnacentral:tRNA from 1 species